CCGACAUCGACUCUGUUUUUUUAAGCUUGACAGUCGUCGCAGGGUUCUGCGCGGCGAUUUGCUUCCUCGCCUUCGUUUCUAGCUCGUCCAGCGUGUGGAACGAUGCGCUCUUACGCGGAAGCCGUCGCGGAGGAGUCGCCGGAGGCUCGACGGAGACGACUUCAGCUGGCUUGACCUCGGCUGGUUUAAGGUGAGUUUCGAGAGACUUGCUAGCGCCGGAGGCUCAACGGAGACGACUUCAGUCGGUUUGACAUCGGCUGGUUUAAGGUGGGUUUCGAGAGACUUGCUGACCUCGUCCCAUGUUUUGGGAGCGUCAUCAUCACCUUCCUCCACGGCGAUUGGCGCGGCGGCGCUUGUGGGUUUUUCGUCAUCAUCGUGUUCGAAUUUCAGCCACGGCUC
rnacentral:lncRNA from 1 species